rnacentral:rRNA from 1 species
UACGUAGGGGGCUAGCGUUGUCCGGAAUCAUUGGGCGUAAAGAGCGCGUAGGCGGCCAGAUAAGUCCGGUGUGAAAGUCACAGGCUCAACCUGUGAAUGCCGCUGGAAACUGUCUGGCUUGAGUCCGGAAGAGGAGAAUGGAAUUCCUGGUGUAGCGGUGAAAUGCGCAGAUAUCAGGAAGAACACCCGUGGCGAAGGCGGUUCUCUGGGACGGUACUGACGCUGAGACGCGAAAGCGUGGGGAGCGAACAGG